UACGUAGGGUGCAAGCGUUGUCCGGAAUUAUUGGGCGUAAAGAGCUCGUAGGCGGUCUGUCGCGUCGGAUGUGAAAACUCGGGGCUCAACCCCGGGCCUGCAUUCGAUACGGGCAGACUAGAGUUCGGCAGGGGAGACUGGAAUUCCUGGUGGUAGCGGUGAAAUGCGCAGAGUAUCAGGAGGAACACCGGUGGCGAAGGCGGCUCUCUGGAACGCAACUGACGCUGAGACGCGAAAGCGUGGGGAGCAAACAGG
rnacentral:rRNA from 1 species